UUGAACGCUGGCGGCAUGCUUUACACAUGCAAGUCGAACGGUAACAGGUCUUCGGAUGCUGACGAGUGGCGAACGGGUGAGUAAUGCAUCGGAACGUGCCCAGUCGUGGGGGAUAACGCAGCGAAAGCUGUGCUAAUACCGCAUACGAUCUAUGGAUGAAANCGGGGGAUCGCAAGACCUCGCGCGAUUGGAGCGGCCGAUGUCAGAUUAGCUAGUUGGUGGGGUAAAGGCCCACCAAGGCGACGAUCUGUAGCUGGUCUGAGAGGACGACCAGCCACACUGGGACUGAGACACGGCCCAGACUCCUACGGGAGGCAGCAGUGGGGAAUUUUGGACAAUGGGCGCAAGCCUGAUCCAGCAAUGCCGCGUGCAGGAAGAAGGCCUUCGGGUUGUAAACUGCUUUUGUACGGAACGAAAAGGUCUGGGUUAAUACCCUGGGCUCAUGACGGUACCGUAAGAAUAAGCACCGGCUAACUACGUG
rnacentral:rRNA from 1 species